rnacentral:rRNA from 1 species
GAUCAUGGCUCAGGAUGAACGCUAGCUACAGGCUUAACACAUGCAAGUCGAGGGGCAGCAUGAACCUAGCUUGCUAAGUUUGAUGGCGACCGGCUCACGGGUGAGUAACACGUAUCCAACCUUCCGUUUACUCAGGGAUAGCCUUUCGAAAGAAAGAUUAAUACCUGAUAGUAUGGUGAGAUUGCAUGAUAACACCAUUAAAGAUUUAUUGGUAAACGAUGGGGAUGCGUUCCAUUAGG